CAUCGGGCUCCUUGCUGCUGCGGCACUCUGGGCAAUUCCGACCCCAGCGCUCGCGCAAAAAGGCAAGGCCGCUCCCGCAGCACA
rnacentral:misc_RNA from 1 species